AUUGAACGCUGGCGGCAGGCCUAACACAUGCAAGUCGAACGAGUGGCGGACUGGUGAGUAAUGUCUGGGACACUGCCUGAUGGAGGGGGAUAACUACUGGCAACGGUAGCUAAUACCGCAUACCAUCAGAUGUGCCCAGAUGGGAUUAGCUAGUUGGUGGGGUAACGGCUCACCAAGGCGACGAUCCCUAGCUGGUCUGAGAGGAUGACCAGCCACACUGGAACUGAGACACGGUCCCGACUCCUAGGCGAGGCAGCAGUGGGAAAUAUUGCACAAUGGGCGCAAGCCUGAUGCAGCCAUGCCGAGUGGAUGAAGAGGGCCUUCGGGUUGUAAAGUAGUUUCAGCGGGGAGGCGUUACCCGCAGAAGAAUCAACGGCUAACGCCGUGCCAGCAGCCGCGGUAAUAC
rnacentral:rRNA from 1 species